UACGAAGGGAGCUAGCGUUGUUCGGAAUCACUGGGCGUAAAGCGCACGUAGGCGGAUUUGUCAGUCAGGGGUGAAAUCCCGGGGCUCAACCUCGGAACUGCCUUUGAUACAGCAAGUCUUGAGUUCGAGAGAGGUGGGUGGAAUUCCUAGUGUAGAGGUGAAAUUCGUAGAUAUUAGGAAGAACACCGGUGGCGAAGGCGGCCCACUGGCUCGAUACUGACGCUGAGAUGCGAAAGCGUGGGGAGCAAACAGG
rnacentral:rRNA from 1 species